GCUAUUAUUAUUUCAUCACUGUUCCAUAUAAUAUACAAUGAGAGAGUAUCCAACGCUAUAAUUUGUAUGAGAAUGUAGAACAGAAAAAAAGUUCAGGCUCAAAAUUUGAUUCUCAUAUACUUUUUUUGUUUCUAAAACUUGUCAAAAACUGGAUCCAAACCCGAGCAGACCCAGUCCAUAUCGUGGUCUCGUUCUCGAAGGAUUCCUUACUGUUUUUUGCUCCUCUGGCAACCAAGCUUUCAAAAAGGUGGCGUCGCGUGCCAAGCACGUCUCCAUAUUCCUGCAAGGUUUCGGAAGCCAAGCCGGCCAGCUUCAAAGCAGCGAGUGAGAGCCACCAUAUGUACGGCUCCACAUGCUUCCGCCGCGCGGUGGGACCCUUUCCGGUCCAACCUUCCCGAAGCCAGUGCGGGCCCGCCGGCGAACUCCCUCUCUUUCUCCACCUCCCUCCGUCGCAGUCAAAAGCCCAAAAACAAAACCGAUAAAACAAGGAAACACCACGUAUAAAGUACUUGAUCAAAAUCUAAGAAAGAGACUUGGCUCUCCA
rnacentral:lncRNA from 1 species